UUCAUGACUGGGGUGAAGUCGUAACAAGGUAGCGCUAGGGGAACCUGGCGCUGGAUCACCUCCUUAUACGAUGAU
rnacentral:rRNA from 3 species